GAUGAAGAACGUAGCGAAAUGCGAUAAGUAAUGUGAAUUGCAGAAUUCAGUGAAUCAUCGAAUCUUUGAACGCACAUUGCGCCCGCCAGUAUUCUGGCGGGCAUGCCUGUCCGAGCGUCAUUUCAACCCUCGAACCCCUCCGGGGGGUCGGCGUUGGGGAUCGGCCCUUUCACCGGGUGCCGGCCCCUAAAUACAGUGGCGGUCUCGCCGCAGCCUCUCAUGCGCAGUAGUUUGCACACUCGCACCGGGAGCGCGGCGCGUCCUCGUCCGUAAAACACCCCAAACUUCUGAAAUGUUGACCUCGGAUCAGGUAGGAAUACCCGCUGAACUUAAGCAUAUCAAUAAGCGGAGGA
rnacentral:misc_RNA from 1 species